rnacentral:rRNA from 1 species
UACGAAGGGGGCUAGCGUUGUUCGGAAUCACUGGGCGUAAAGGGCGCGUAGGCGGCUUUAUAAGUCGGGGGUGAAAGCCUGUGGCUCAACCACAGAAUUGCCUUCGAUACUGUAGAGCUUGAGACCGGAAGAGGUUAGUGGAACUGCGAGUGUAGAGGUGAAAUUCGUAGAUAUUCGCAAGAACACCAGUGGCGAAGGCGGCUCACUGGCCCGAUACUGACGCUGAGGCACGAAAGCGUGGGAGAGCAAACAGG